UACGUAGGGGGCUAGCGUUGUCCGGAUUUAUUGGGCGUAAAGCGCGCGUAGGUGGCCUCGUAAGUCCGCUGUGAAAGUCAAAGGCUCAACCUUUGAAAGCCGGUGGAUACUGUGAGGCUAGAGUACGGAAGAGGCGAGUGGAAUUCCUGGUGUAGCGGUGAUAUGCGUAGAUAUCGGGAGGAACACCUGUGGCGAAGGCGGUUCUCUGGGCCUGUACUGACGCUGAGGAACGAAAGCGUGGGGAGCGAACAGG
rnacentral:rRNA from 1 species